CAGCUCCCACAGAAGCAGCAGAAAGUAAUCAAGGAGGAGAAAACAGCAACCGAACUGGAUGUUUCACGGAAAAUAGAAUUCCACCAAACCAGAUUGGAAGAGCAC